UAGGGAAUCUUCCACAAUGGACGCAAGUCUGAUGGAGCAACGCCGCAUGAGUGAAGAAGGUUUUCGGACCGUAAAGCUCUGUUGUUGGUGAAGAAGGAUAGAGGUAGUAACUGGCCUUUAUUUGACGGUAAUCAACCAGAAAGUCACGGCUAACUACGUGCCAGCAGCCGCGGUAAUACGUAGGUGGCAAGCGUUGUCCGGAUUUAUUGGGCGUAAAGCGAGCGCAGGCGGAAGAAUAAGUCUGAUGUGAAAGCCCCGUACGAGAUUACGCAUG
rnacentral:rRNA from 1 species